ACUUCUGAACGUUGACCUCGAAUCAGGUAGGACUACCCGCUGAACUUAAGCAUAUAA
rnacentral:rRNA from 1 species